rnacentral:rRNA from 1 species
UGGGGAAUUUUGGACAAUGGGCGAAAGCCUGAUCCAGCAAUGCCGCGUGUGUGAAGAAGGCCUUCGGGUUGUAAAGCACUUUUGUCCGGAAAGAAAUCCUCUGGGUUAAUACCUCGGGGGGAUGACGGUACCGGAAGAAUAAGCACCGGCUAACUACGUGCCAGCAGCCGCGGUAAUACGUAGGGUGCAAGCGUUAAUCGGAAUUACUGGGCGUAAAGCGUGCGCAGGCGGUUUUGUAAGACGGAUGUGAAAUCCCCGGGCUUAACCUGGGAACUGCAUUCGUGACUGCAAGGCUAGAGUAUGGCAGAGGGGGGUAGAAUUCCACGUGUAGCAGUGAAAUGCGUAGAGAUGUGGAGGAAUACCGAUGGCGAAGGCAGCCCCCUGGGCCAAUACUGACGCUCAUGCACGAAAGCGUGGGGGAGCAAACAGGAUUCAGAUACCCUGGUAGUCCACGCCCUAAACGAUGUCAACUAGUUGUUGGGGAUUCAUUUCCUUAGUAACGUAGCUAACGCGUGAAGUUGACCG